rnacentral:lncRNA from 1 species
AUCUCAUGUGACUAGAUAUUAUCAUAAAUCUACAUAAUCUUUCACAAUAUUAAUAUCUGUACACAACCGCUAGAGAAAGCUGCUUUCAGUUUCCUAAUACCUACAUAUUUAAUCAAAAUGAACGCGCUGUAUGCGGGAGUCUAACUGCAGGUUUUGAUAAAGAUAUAAAGGUGAAGCUGUGAUAUAACCAUGGGUGUAUCAAAGAUGAAAGUUGAACCAUUUUUAGAAAAUGAACAGGAUGAUUUUUUGGAUAUCAAAUUGAUGAAAAAUGAAGAUGAAACUCCUAUAUUAUCUAGUAGAUUUGAUAACGAUAUAAAGGUGAAGUAGUGAUGUUACCAUGGAUGUAUCAAAGAUGAAAGAUGAACCCUUUUCUGAAAAUGAGCAGGAUGAUUUGGUGGAUAUCAAAUUGAUGAAAAAUGAAGAUGAAACUCCUACAUUAUCUAGUAUUAAAAGUUAUCUCAUGGAAACCAAGGCUCUGUAUCCUCAUAUUAUCUGCAGCCAUCUAGUUCCUCCAGUUCUCCUAGGUAGUGUUACUGCUUCCCCAACUCCCAUGGCUAUGAAUUUGAAUCCACUCCUGUUUUUUGGACUGUUCUUGUGGAACUGGUAGAUGUUAUGGAGGAAUGAUCUUUGUGUGGAAUAUCUUUGUAUGCAAGUUGAAGAUGAUUAGCAGUGCAGUGUAUGGCCAACAGAGAUGAACUGAUUUAUUUCAGGUUUACAGCUACUUCUUGAUACCUCCCCAGCAUGACUGCUGCCCCGUCUGAUCCAAAUUCCAUGAGUUUCUCUGAAGAUAGGUCUGGUCAAUGCCAAGCCUCUCAUCAAGGCUGUGAAGAAUUGCCACUGUGAUUGGUUCCCCAUUGGCAGUUGCAACAUUUGUCACAGCAACAAGGUCAGUAGCCACUGUCCUAUUGAUGACGUACCGAACAUACACCAUCUCUUCCUCUGUCACGGAUGUAUUUGUUGAACCAUCGCUGAUCAAAGAGAUGAACUUUGUUUCCCUUGUUCUUUUUUCCAUUUCAAUUCUUUCUAUCUAAAGACAUGUAAUCAACACCUAAAAGAAAUAAAGUUAGAACUUUAGCUUGCACACCGAAAAGUAAAGAAAUAAAAUUAAGGUUUAACACACUAGA